GGAUCCUUCCCCCUGAGCAGAAAGCACCCCGUCUUCUCAUGACAGAGUGGCCCUGGAGGUCCGGGAAUGAAACUCAUGAGUCGAUGGAAUGAGAGCCAAGGAUGAAGCUUCUGGAUUGUAAUGCUGGAACAAUGACAAGCCUACAGAUGGCUCCAGGCCCAGAUGGCUUCACGGGUGACUCUACCACACCUGUGAGCAGCGGACACCACCAGAGGCUGCCUCAGUGGCUGUAAAGCAUAGAUAAGGAAGGACAUUUCCAAAUUCUUUUUAUAAAGGAGCAACACCAAACCCAGUGAGAGUACAUUGCAAAUCCGAGAUAAUCGCAGGGAGCGAUCUGGCCCAGACAGACCAGCAUCUGGCUCCUUAGCUACUCCAUCAUCAGCAAGCUCCCUUCUGCACCAGCUGCUCGGGCGUCCCAGCCAGCGGGACGGAUGAAAUGAAGGAAGAUGCCUCAGUCAACUUGGGGGCCAUAAAAACACAUUUAUUUUUCACACUUCUGGAAGUGGCAAGUCCGAGAUCAGGGUGCCUCACGGGCGGGUUGUGGUGGGGCUUCUCUCCCUGCCUUGCAGACAGCUGCCUUCUGGCUGUGUCCUCACGUGGUACAGAGAGAACCAGUUUCUUCCUCUUGUAAGACACUAAUCCCAUCCUGGGAUCCACACUCAUGACCUCAUCUAAACCCAGAUUCUUCCCAAAGUUCCCACCCCCAAACACCGACCUCAGGGCUUUGACAUGUGAAUUUGAGGAGGGGGACAAAUUUCAGUCCACAGCAGAAGGCAUGGCCCUGCUGUUUAAGGAUGCUUUUUGAAAGUUGCCUAUAACACAUCUGCUUCACUUUAGGCACAUGGCCACACCUAACUGUAAGAGAGGUUGGGGAAUAUACCCAGCAACAUUGAGAUUUCUAUUACAAUGUGCUCAGAUGAGAGUUGGGAUUCAGGCUUUUUCCACAUUGCUUUGUCCUGAUCGUGAUACCUCGUGGUCCAAAAUGGCUGCUUGAGAGACAGUCAUCACCUCCGCUUUCCAGCCAAGAAGACGUUCCUUACUUAGUCAGAGUGUAGUGUGGGGAUGUAGCCUUUUAUAUGCAUACAGUGUAUCCAGCCAAAAGCUGGGGUCCUAAUUACUAAUGGAAAAGGAUGGAAAGGGUGUUGGGGUAACUAGCAGUCUUCCACCUCCACCCUCUAGUUGCCUCAAGGAUCUUAGAGCCUGGUGUACAAUGGCACUCUCCUGUUCUGCCAUAACCUGCUAAGUCUACACCACAUGCUCCCCAAGUGCAUGGGCUUAGCUUUCCUUCCUGUUUUUCCUCCCAGAAUUUGCCAGCUAGCAAACAACAGGCAAUCAUUAGCCUAGCAUUUGUGUGCUGUGCUGAGGUUGAGUCGUACCAGGUGUGGAUUCUGGAAGCAGAGGCUGGUGGUUGCUCUCUGACCUCAAGUUCGCCUACCACCCAUGCUAACGCCUGCCACCCCCACCCCCGGCCCUGUGUCUCCUCCAGUUUCAGAGUUUAUGAGCCCGGCUCCCCUUAGCAGAGAUUUUCCACUCUGUACCCCUCCGUAAAGUUUCAGAGCUCUUUCUAAUAAACCCCAGAUGGAGGGAACGUUUUGCCCGGCAGCAAGAUCUUUCCCUGGCAUUUUUGAGACAUUUAACAGCCAAGGAUUGUCCAGAGCUGGGAGAAGGCCAUGAAGGACAGACACCAGGUCUCAGGAGGUGACAAACAGGGAGCAGGGAGGGACCAUUGCCCUCAGCCAUCUCUCUGCAGCCAGGGGUUUCCAGAUGGCUCAGCCUGCCCCGUGGGCUCUCCCCUCCUUUAUUUGCUCUGUGCUGGACAACGUGAUUCAACCGUGCACUGCGGAACCUGUCCCGAGCACACAGGGUGAUAAGAUGAGGUCCUUGCUCUCCACGGCCUCCAGACAGGAGAGGUGCAUCCACCGUGUGCACAGGGACGGGCAUCAUGAGCGGGCACAUUACAUUUGAGCUGUCAGUGCUGGGGCUGCAAGGCCCAGCCUUGAAAGGAGCCAUUCACAUCACUGGGGCCCUCAGGGUGUAGUGGCCAAACCCUGCGGGAAAGCCCCACCAUUAUAAUAAGCUUUCUCAUGACGGGCCUUGGGAGGAAUUAGAAAUAUAAUUUUUCAGGCGCUUACAAAAUAUCCAGUAAUUAGAGCUUAUGGACAUAAAAGGGGCAUGCCGUGAGAUUUGUGGCCCCCUUUUCAAAGGAACCGAUCUGUAUAUUAAAACAAUAAAAUAUGUCCAAGGGGGU